ACAAAUUUAAAAUUUCAUUGUGAAUAUAAAAUUACAUUGAUUUGUAUAGAUAUAGAAUAGAUUUUUGAUGAAAUUACAAGCAUUCGAUCAUUAAACUGUAUUAACCCUAUUAACUAAACAACAUAUUAUUAUAAAAUUCUGGACAUAUUACUGAAGAGUAAUGUAUAGUAAACCUUCCUGUUUAUCCAUAAUUCUCUAAUAAUCUUGAGCAUAGAAGUCAAUAAUCUCCUUGAGAUUGAGCUGAAACAAAGAAGAACAAUCAUUAUACAUAAGCCACAACAUGUGCUCAAACAAAAUCGCAUCAACAUCCACAAAUAUCACUCUAUUUUCUCUUCUCUUCGCAUGAUGAUCAUCUUCUUCUUUAAUAUCAUUACUUGUUACUGUUUCUAUCAGAACUCGAAAAGGACUCUCUUCCAAAACAAAGGGAUCCACCAAGAACUCUCUCUUCUCUUUCCCAACCACAACUGUCACUGGCGGGUUGAAAUCCGAGAACCCAUCAUCUUUUAAAGGCCGGUAGCCUAGCCGGGACCCUGUGGAGCGCUUUCUCAAGAGUGAAACAGGCAAGACCAAGCAAUCCAUGUUCUUGAAAUGUUAAGAGACGACUGUCUCUAAAGAUAUAAGAGAAGGAAUAGCUAUAACUUACAUAGAAAAAAAGAGAGAUUGGGAAAUGAAAAGGAAGGACCGAGAGAUCAAAAAAGGGUUGACAAGUGCAGUUUGAAUUGGCCAGCUGAAAGGCUGUAUAUAAAAAGAGAGAGAGAGAGA
rnacentral:misc_RNA from 1 species